CCCCUAUCCCUGGACAUCUUUAAAAGCUGUCUGGACAUCGUCCUGGGCAUUGUCUAGGGCAGGUUGUCCCUGCUUCAAGUUGGGCUGGUAGGGCAAAGGGGGACAAGAGGGUCUUCAGAGGCCCCUUUCAACCUCAACCAUACUGCUAUCUCUGGGGCUUUCCCACUGGUGGCAAGGUGCGAGAUAUCCUCUGACAGACCUUGGAGGAGCCAAGCCUGAGGAGUCACUGAGGCACUGAGCGCUUUGCUGGCACUGAGGAGGUCACCAGGAUUUCCCUGCCUGCAUAGGUCCAGUGCCCACUGCCAGGCCCUUGUGCCCAGGGACACCAGCCUCCUGUCACAGGACCUGAUCAGCCUGAGGCUAAACCACCCCCUGCAAGGCCACACAAAGAUGGAAAACAUCCCGUGAAGCAGGCUUUCCGCCCCCCAUCUCCGGGGCAUUUGCUUUCCUCACCCAGUGGUCCUGAUGUCCCCUGUCAUGUCACUGUGGGGUGGCUGUGACUUCCCAUGGCCUCACUGCUCUGCAGCCGCAGGGUCCCAGCACCCACUCUGCAGAGGGGGCAGAGUCUGCAACUCCUCCCAGCACAGGGAGAGCCAAGCCGACAGGCAGGGUGAAGGACACGACCUCGGGUGUUGAGGAGACACUGGAGGGAAGUGGCUCUGCUGUGAUGGCCACUGGGAGCAGGGCACAACAGGCAGAGCCAUCAGAGGCAUGAGAACCCCACUGUUGCCCCAUGUGUGACAUCAACAACGCAGCCUGUGUGCCCUCGUGCUUGCAUUGCUUCUGCUUCAGCUGCAUCCAGAAGUGGGCUACCAGGACAGCUUUGUGCCCACUCUGCAGGCAGCCUUUUGACCGUGUCCUGCACACGGUGAGAGCCGAUGAUGACUAUCAGGAAACACACCACCACUCCCACACAACACUCUCCUGCUCUUCCUGACAACAACUGCAAAGCUUCUGUUCCUAAAUAAGCCUGUGGCAAAUGAAUACCAGGAGGAUCAACUAUGAAUACCACUCAAAUGCAAAAAUGUAAUGGCAAAACACAAUAUUCAACACAUGGAUUUGCCUCAUCAACAUCACAUCUAUGCUACAACUUCAGAAAUUAUUAUUUCCAUAAAAUCAUUGUCUCUCACUUUGGAUACUAUGAAGUUGUUUGGGAAAAACUUCUGCAUCUCAUUUUCAAAGUGUCCAGCUGAGCAUAAGAUUUAUUUAUUUUUUUAAAGAAUCCAAAACUGAAAAUAUCAUUUUUGAAAAUCCUGUUUAUUUCACCUCUGUCUUUUGUAAUAAGAUAGGCUAGGGUAACUGAUUACUCUUACACAAUGUAAAUCACCCUUACUCUGUAUGAACAGACAGUUUUCUUACUCUGUAUGAAUAGACAGUCUCCUAUAUAGAAAGAUAAG
rnacentral:lncRNA from 1 species